GAAGCGGGAACCCGGCACCGUGGGCAUGACCCCGUGCGAGCGGGUCAGACCGGGGGUGCCUCACCGAGAGGCGAGGCGGCA
rfam:Frankia sp. EAN1pec, complete genome.